UACGAAGGGGGCUAGCGUUGUUCGGAAUUACUGGGCGUAAAGCGCACGUAGGCGGACAUUUAAGUCAGGGGUGAAAUCCCGGGGCUCAACCUCGGAACUGCCUUUGAUACUGGGUGUCUAGAGUAUGGAAGAGGUAAGUGGAAUUGCGAGUGUAGAGGUGAAAUUCGUAGAUAUUCGCAGGAACACCAGUGGCGAAGGCGGCUUACUGGUCCAUUACUGACGCUGAGGUGCGAAAGCGUGGGGAGCAAACAGGAUUAGAAACCCCCGUAGUCC
rnacentral:rRNA from 1 species